CGUUCGCUCCCCUGGCUUUCGCGCCUCAGCGUCAGUGUCAGCCCAGCAACCCGCCUUCGCCGCAGGUGUUCCUCUCGAUAUCUACGCAUUUCACCGCUACACCGAGAAUUCCAGUUGCCCCUUCUGCACUCUAGUCGCACAGUAUCAGUUGACCGUUCCGAGUUAAGCCCGGAGAUUUCACAACUGACUUGUGCUGACCGCCUACGCGCCCUUUACGCCCAGUAAAUCCGAACAACGCUUGCUCCCCCCGUAUUACCGCGGCUGCUGGCUCGGAGUUAGCCGGAGCUUACAAAAGGUACCGUCAUCAUAGGGGGUAUUAACCCCUACUAAUUCUUCCCAAUCUUGCGAAGUUUACAUCCCGAGGGAUUUCAUCCCUCACGCGGCGUUGCUGGGUCAGGCUUUCGCCCAUUGCCCAAAAUUCCCGACUGCUGCCUCCCGUAGGAGUCUGACCCGUAUGUCAGUGUCAGUGUGACCGACCGCCCUCUCAGGCCGGUUACAGAUCGUAGCCUUGGUAAGCCGUUACCUUACCAACUAGCUAAUCUGCCGCAGGCUCCUCUCCAGGCGCGAGGUCCUAAAAUCCCCCGCUUUAACAACUGUCACCAUGUGGUGCCGCUGCAUUAUGCGGUGUUAGCCCAAGUUUCCCUG
rnacentral:rRNA from 1 species